AAAACACAUCAUUUAACAAGGCAAAGGAUGAUUACACAAUAUCCUACAUACAUGGAUACAUGAUAGAGAGGUUUUGCAUUGAUACACUGAUAUAUCAUAAACGAAUGGAGUAGGUCAAAUGGAGCAAUGUGUAAUCACAGUAUUACAGCACCAGAAAAUUCCUAAAAUGGCAUCCCAUGUGUGAAAGCUAAAAGCAAAGGGGGGAAACCUGAUUUUUGUUGUUGUUGUCGGAGACCAACAAAAGUUGACCUGGCAGUUGGAUGCAAGUGUCAUGGGCAUGAACUAGCCCUGGGAAUCAAUCAAGCAGAAAAGGGCAUCACAUACAGCAUGAGAUUCAAGUAUAUCAUGAGAGAUGCAAACCCUAGAACGUAUCCAGCCAGAUGGCCAGCAUGACAUUCGCGAUCUGAAUCCUAUUCCUCAUCUCUAAAAAUUGACAACGUGGAAAGGCAUGCAAAUGAAUAGUAUGGGCUACAUUCUCUGUCAGGAUCACAACAACCUAAAUCCUACGUAUGCACCAGGUUGAUAGCCACCACAAGAACAACACCAAGCCAUGGGUGGGAAACAAUAACAGAGGGUUUAGUCUCAAGCCUUUUGCCUACAGAGCCUCAGAUUGAUCAAACAAUAUGAUAACAAAAGUGUGCUUUACGACUACACGGGUAAUACUAAUAUGCUAAUCUUCGUCUUUCAAGGUUCAGAAAUAAAAUGUUAAACUUCUGAAGAAGAUUAAGAAGCAGAUCGGUGAAAACAAGAAGUUACCCUUAUGUUCUAUCAAGUCAAGCAUACUUUCAGCAGGAGUAACUGACUGGUUCAGUUUGUAUUUCCUGCUUAGCAACCGGAAAUACAGCAGCAACAUGUUUAUCAAUGUCGCUAAAUGAUGCAGAAGCACCCUUAUGAAGGUCAUGCACAAGGGUACUUUGAUGCAGAACAAUCCUGGUAGUGCAUGCUUAUUUUGAUGGAAACAAAUGAUAGACGAAGUGCAGGAGUUAACGUAGGGUAGUGCCUUAACAUGGCUACAAUAUGUUUAAAACAAAUAAGCCUCUUUUCCCUCAUAAAUAUGAGUAAUUUGGUACUCCCUAACUUUGUACUAAAGCGAGGGACAAUUAAUAUGGAUCCGAGGGAGUAUUGAUUUUCAUCCACCGACGGGGGAAGAAAGAAAGUAAACAUUGUUCGAUUAAAAGCAAUAUGAAGAAACAUAGUUUCAUAGCAACAAUAAUUGACCUUGUGGUUGGAUGUAAGUGUAAUGGGCACGGACCUAGCCCUAGUAAUAAACAAGCACGAGAAGGGCAACACAGAGCAUGAGAUUAAUGUAUAUCACGAGAGCCGAAAACCCUACAACUUGCCAGGGGCGAUGGCGAGCAUGAGAUUCAUGGUCUGAAUGCUCUUCCUCAUCUCUAAAAAUUGAGAACGGGAAAGGGCAUGCAAAGGAACACUGUGCGCUACAAUCUCUGUGAGAAUAGAAGCAAACUAAAUCCUACCUAUGCACCACACUGAUAGCCACCACAAGAGUAGACAUUUCUAAACCUUAAUAGAACAUUUACAGAUAUAAUUUUGAACAAAAUCAUAGUAAUUCAUUUGCACUGAACCAUGCCAAAUAUCCAAACAAAAAUGAAAAUGGUGGCCAGAUGACCAACCACAGAACAACCUCAAGCCAUCGGUGGGAAACAUGUAACAAAGGGGUCAGUUAUCACCUUGCUGGACACAAUGUGCACCACGGAUUGUCGACAAUCAAGAGGUUGACGACUCAUUCG
rnacentral:lncRNA from 1 species